rnacentral:rRNA from 1 species
UAGGGAGCGGGAGAGGCAGACGGUAUUCCGUGGGUAGGGGUAAAAUCCUAUGUCCAUGAGGACCACCAGUGGCGAAGGCGGUCUGCCAGAACGCGUUCGACGGUGAGGGAUGAAAGCUGGGGGAGCAAACCGGAUUAGAUACCCGGGUAGUCCCAGCUGUAAACGAUG